AUUCUGCCCAUGCGGGGAAGGAUGAGAAGCUUCGACCAAGGUGUGACUUGAGCGCCAGCGAGAAAGCGUUGCCGCAGGCAACGACCCGAAGGGUGAAGCGCGCAGCGCUGAGUAAUCCUUCCCCCACCACCA
rnacentral:sRNA from 1 species